GACCUCGGAUCAAGUAGGACUACCCGCUGAACUUAAGCAUAUCAAUAAGC
rnacentral:rRNA from 1 species